GAGUCGGUUAGCUCAGUGGUUUGAGCAUGGUGCUGGCAACAAGGAUCAACAUCGAGGUCGCGGGUUCGAUUCCCGCUCGGUCCC
rfam:Apaloderma vittatum contig94341, whole genome shotgun sequence.